rnacentral:rRNA from 1 species
AACGAACGCUGGCGGCAUGCCUAAUACAUGCAAGUCGAACGAGAUCUUCGGAUCUAGUGGCGCACGGGUGCGUAACGCGUGGGAAUCUGCCCUUGGGUUAGGAAUAACAGCGGGAAACUGCUGCUAAUAGCGGAUGAUGACGUAAGACCAAAGCUUGAUCGCCACGGGAUGAGCCCGCGUAGGAUUAGGUAGUUGGUGGGGUAAAGGCCUACCAAGCCUACGAUCCUUAGCUGGUUUGAGAGGAGGAUCAGCCACACUGGGACUGAGACACGGCCCAGACUCCUACGGGAGGCAGCAGUAGGGAAUAUUGGACAAUGGGGGCAACCCUGAUCCAGCAAUGCCGCGUGAGUGAAGAAGGCCUUAGGGUUGUAAAGCUCUUUUACCCGGGAUGAUAAUGACAGUACCGGGAGAAUAAGCCCCGGCUAACUCCGUGCCAGCCGCCGCCGUAA